rnacentral:rRNA from 1 species
GUUGCGACCCCAGGUCAGGCGGGACUACCCGCUGAGUUUAAGCAU